GACGAACGCUGGCGGCGUGCUUAACACAUGCAAGUCGAACGGGUCUGCCCUGUUUUUUGCGGGGUGGGUCAGUGGCGAACGGGUGAGUAACACGUGAGUAACCUGCCCCUCACUUCUGGAUAACCGCUUGAAAGGGUGGCUAAUACGGGGUGUUCUGGCUGUGCCGCAUGGUGUGGCUGGGAAAGAUUCACUUUUGUGGUGUUUUGGUGGGGGAUGGGCUCGCGGCCUAUCAGCUUGUUGGUGGGGGGAUGGCCUGCCAGGGCUUGGACGGGUAGCCGGCUGGGGGGGGUGGGCGGUCUACUGGGGACUGGGAUACGGCCCAGCUUCCUGCGGGAGGCACCGGUGGGGGUAUUGCACAAUGGGCGGAAGCCUGAUGCAGCGACGUCGCGUGAGGGAUGGAGGCCUUCGGGUUGUGAACCUCUUUCGCCGGUGAAGAAGGUCCUGCUCUUAGUGGUGGGGUUGGCGGUAGCCGGGUUAUGAAGCUCCGGCUAACUACGUG
rnacentral:rRNA from 1 species